rnacentral:rRNA from 1 species
UACAGAGGUCUCAAGCGUUGUUUCGGGAUUCAUUGGGCGUAAAGGGUGCGUAGGCGGCGCGGUAAGUCGGGUGUGGAAAUCUUGGAGCUUAACUCCGAAACUGCAUUCGAUACUGCCGUGCUUGAGGACUGGAGAGGAGACUGGAAUUUACGGUGUAGCGGUGAAAUGCGUAGAUAUCGUAAGGAAGACCAGUGGCGAAGGCGGGUCUCUGGACAGUUCCUGACGCUGAGGCACGAAGGCCAGGGGAGCAAACGGG